ensembl:misc_RNA 7SK 7SK RNA
GAAUGUGAAGGAGAUGUGAUUCCAACAUCUGUGUCUUCAUUGAUUGCAAGGUUGAUUGAGCUGAUCUGACUAGGUAGGCAGGGGCCCCUUUACUGCCUCACAGCGCCAUGCUCAUCCUUCCCAAAGAUGCAUGCUUGGUUGAAGAGGACAGCCUUCCCUAAUAGAAGAAGACCUUUUUUUUUGUUUGUUUGUCUUUUUGUUUUUGCUCAAGGGUAUACAAGUGGCUGGGAGAAGGCAAUGGCACCCCACUCCAGUACUGUUGCCCGGAAAAUCCCAUGGAUGGAGAAGCCUGGUAGGCUGCAGUCCAUGGGGUCGCUAAGAGUCAGACACGACUG